rnacentral:lncRNA from 1 species
GAAAAACAAAGAUGUGCGGCCGCGAAUUCGUCAACCUUGCAAAAGAUAAAAAUUUAGAGCACUAUCAAACUACCAAAACCGAGCAACAAUCCACCAAUAUCAUCCCUCCCCAAGAAAAGAACUAAAAGGUUUCUUCUUACUUCAGAAGGAUGGUUCUUGAUGCUUGAAAAUCAGACCAGCCAAGUCUUUUGAAACCUUUUUCGCUGUCGAGAAUUGAUCUGCCUCGUGCUUAUGGGCGUCGUCCUUGUGUCAUCGGUUUCGCCUUAUCAGCCAAUCCAAGUCUCACAUCAGAUUUUAUCUCCAUGAUCCUUUACCGCCUGAG